rnacentral:rRNA from 1 species
AUUGAACGCUGGCGGAAUGCUUUACACAUGCAAGUCGAACGGCAGCACGGACUUCGGUCUGGUGGCGAGUGGCGAACGGGUGAGUAAUGUAUCGGAACGUGCCCAGUCGUGGGGGAUAACGUAGUGAAAAUUACGCUAAUACCGCAUACGAUCUAUGGAUGAAAGCGGGGGAUCGCAAGACCUCGCGCGAUUGGAGCGGCCGAUAUCAGAUUAGGUAGUUGGUGGGGUAAAGGCCCACCAAGCCAACGAUCUGUAGCUGGUCUGGGCGGACGACCAGCCACACUGGAACUGAGACACGGUCCAGACUCCUACGGGAGGCAGCAGUGGGGAAUUUUGGACAAUGGGCGAAAGCCUGAUCCAGCCAUUCCGCGUGCAGGAUGAAGGCCCUCGGGUUGUAAACUGCUUUUGUACAGAACGAAAAGGUCUCUACUAAUACUAGGAGCUCAUGACGGUACUGUAAGAAUAAGCACCGGCUAACUACGUUCCAGCAGCCGCAGUAA